rnacentral:ncRNA from 1 species
GAUGGUUUCGUCGCUUUUCAUUAUAGAUCUUAUGGGACUUUUUUCUACAAUAAAAUAGGCUCCAUAAUAUCUAUAGGGGGUUACCCACUACAAAUAUUAUAGAGCC